rnacentral:rRNA from 1 species
GAUGAACGCUAGCUACAGGCUUAACACAUGCAAGUCGAGGGGAAACGGCAUUGAGUGCUUGCACUCUUUGGACGUCGACCGGCGCACGGGUGAGUAACGCGUAUCCAACCUUCCCAUUACUGUGGGAUAACCUGCCGAAAGGCAGACUAAUACCGCAUGGUCUUCGAUGACGGCAUCAGAUUUGAGUAAAGAUUUAUCGGUAAUGGAUGGGGAUGCGUCUGAUUAGCUUGGUUGGCGGGGUAACGGCCCACCAAGGCAACGAUCAGUAGGGGUUCUGAGAGGAAGGUCCCCCACAUUGGAACUGAGACACGGUCCAA